AUACGGAGGGAGCAAGCGUUGUUCGGAAUUACUGGGCGUAAAGGGCGCGUAGGCGGUCCAGCAAGUCUUGCGUGAAAUCCCCCGGCUCAACUGGGGAACUGCGUAGGAAACUUCUGGACUUGAGUUCGGGAGAGGGAAGCGGAAUUCCGGGUGUAGCGGUGAAAUGCGUAGAUAUCCGGAGGAACACCGGUGGCGAAGGCGGCUUCCUGGACCGAUACUGACGCUGAGGCGCGAAAGCUAGGGUAGCAAACGGGAUUAGAAACCCCUGUAGUCC
rnacentral:rRNA from 1 species